rnacentral:rRNA from 1 species
CAGCAGCCGCGGUAAUACGGAGGGUGCAAGCGUUAAUCGGAACUACUGGGCGUAAAGCGUGCGUAGGUGGUGGUUUAAGUCCGUUGUGAAAGCCCUGGGCUCAACCUGGGAAUUGCAGUGGAUACUGGGUCACUAGAGUGUGGUAGAGGAUAGUGGAAUUUCCGGUGUAGCAGUGAAAUGCGUAGAGAUCGGAAGGAACAUCUGUGGCGAAGGCGACUAUCUGGGCCAACACUGACACUGAGGCACGAAAGCGUGGGGAGCAAACAGGAUUAGAUACCCCCGUAGUCCCUGUCUCUUAUAC